rnacentral:lncRNA from 1 species
GAGGAUCGUGGAUUUCUGAAGGUAGAGGACGUGCCUGUGGUGCUUGUGGAGAAGAAGGGCCGUAUAGGCGCUGGCCCAGCCCAUGAGACUCAGAAACAAGAAAUCCCGCAGGGCCAUGAGGAUGGGAAACGUCCACUUCCUGAUCUGGCUUCUUGGGAGGACGUGAGAGCAGCUAUUUCCGUGGCUAGCUUGUGACCUGUUUAGGCCGCUCGUGUUGCUGACGUAGUAGAGUAAGUUCACGCUGACCAAGGAGUUGAGGACCCAGAAGAAGAGGCAGAAGGGAAGGAUGUGGCUUGCGGAUGCUGGCUUGAAGCCGGCGGGCACGGGGGCUCUGGGGCUGAUGGUGGUGGCCUGGACCACGGCGAGGAAGCUGCUGCUGGAGAUCGAAAGGCCCCGGGCCACCCUCUCCAGAAACACAAUCGCUUUACAGCCCAUGUCGCCCAGGACGUUUCUCACACCAGACAUCGCUAUUGUCUUCAGCGCUACCUUGGACAAAAGCAU